rnacentral:lncRNA from 1 species
AACUUCCCAAUCACCCCAUGCUCCCCACCUACCAAGAAAAAAAAAUAGCUGGAGGAGCUGGGGAAGGUUUCAUUCACUUAAGUGGCGACACAUGAGCUGGGGCUUGAAAGAUGAGUAAAAGGUGAAGUUGACAGGCAGAGUCAGGAGCCAGGGCUUCCAGGAAGUGGGGACAGUGUGUUCAAAAGCACUAAGAUGGAGAGACUGAGUCACUAAGAACUGAAGUGGUCACGGUGGCCAAGCUUGCACAGCUGGUAGGUGGCAGCUCUGAGAUUCGGACUCAAGCGAUCUGCUCCAGAGUCAAUGAAUCAUCUGACGAUAAAUGAAAAUGUGUUUCUCGAUGUGGUCCUGCAGAGAGAUUCAUAUCGCCGAGUAGUAAGUUGCUGCUGGUGUUUUCGUUAAUGGGAACUGUAAAAUGAGAAGAUUACGGGUAUUCAUGGUAUGAACAAACAGUGAGACCUACCAUUCUGAAUCAAGCUCAAUUGGAUAUGCGAGAAUUCAGAAAGGAAUUUGUGUUGCCUGUUCAGGUUUGACAUCCCCAAACCUGGAGGAAAUUUAGAGUCACCAACCAGAUGGACACUUUUACAGACCAAAAAAUGAAGAUC